GCGGAUCCCUCCGCCCUUCUAGUCACGGAACCGGGCCGAACCAGCCCGUAAACCGUUGACAAUAAUAUACUGUCUCAGAUGUUUUAUAGUGUGACACUAUGGAACAGUCUGUUCCUGGCUGGUGGAUCUGCAUUGGGUUUAGGAGUAACUGCCAUCUUACUGGCAGGAGACUUCUGCUUUUUUCCCUUCCCCAUCUCCUUUUGUUCCACCCAUUUCCCCGUGAAAUCUCACCAAGCAAUUCACACAGUUCACUGGGCUUUCUGUUUGAAAUUUGUCUUUUUCUAUCUGUUCUUCUCCUUCCUCAAAUUUUCAAAGAUUUUGAAUGUCCUCUUUUCACGGCCUCUAUUACCUGAUUCAUCUUCCAUCUUUCUCUACUCCUUAAAAUCAAACUAAGGUAAAUCUUUACUCCUAUUAACUGCAUUUCCCUACAGUUUCCCCAGACUUUUGCUACACUUCAAAACAGCCCACAAUCUACUACUUUUCCUUUCCAGUAGCUUAAAAACCCCCACUGACACCAAUUGCUGUGUUUAAGAUGAUUGUCCUGUUCGCUCAUAAAAAGGAACAUCAGACUGAUAUUCCAGGUUUGAUGGUUUUUGACUUCCUCUGUGAAAUCACUCAGAAACUUCUCUCCUAUCUUCAGUUGCAGAGCAGCCCAGCUUCCCUCAGACCCUCACUUCCAGGCAACUGGAUGCAUCAGAUAACUUCUCCCUUCUGCCUUCCUUUCAGAGCCAUGUGGCAGAUGGAUUCUCCUGCCACCACAGUUGCCAUCCACCUCUCUAUAUUAGUGGCCCUGAGAAGGAACAUCAGAGUUCUUAAUCUUGCAGGUCUACAAAGGGAGUGGGCAGAUGUCAGGAGCAAGACCUGCUUCCAGAUCUCCUCCAUCUUCUACAACUGAUGCAACUGCAAAUGUCUUUUUGUUCCAUAAGUUGUUUUUUUUUUCAAUUUGCGAUAAAAAAGAGGGUACUGGAGGCAGAAUACAGCACAGUUCUAUAAAAUGGACAAGGAGUGAUUGUUCACAGUCUCUCAGGAAAUAAAAUCUUAGAGAGCACCCAAUACAAUUGUCAGAAAGCUCAGUUUAAGAUAGAAAUAAAAGAAAGCUUUUUUUUGGUGUGACCUUUCAGUUUCAUUGUGGCCAAAUAAAAUAAAUAAAUAAAUUCCAAAAGUGACUGACACAUUCAUGGUGGAUGGGUGUUUUGGUGACUAUUUCAUACUGCGCUCUGGAUGUAAUUUCAGUCUCAGGAAAUCUCUAAGCUGUUGAUUUUUGGAGCUGGAAGGCAGUAAGAGGAAUGUAUAUGGCUUAUUUUUUAUAUUUUUGUCUCAGUAUCUGUUAAUAAUCAGUGUCAGAGACAGGAUACUUGGCUAGACAGACCUUUGAUUUGACUGUCUAUGACACAUUUUUUAAUAUAUACUGGAGCAGCUUUGCCCAGAAUUUACAGUCAUAGUCUUCUGCUCAGUACGCUGCACUCUUCUAUUGCUAGUAGCCAAGAGACAACUUUCUCAAUUGUCUUCUUUACCAAAAUAUGUAGAAGACUCGCACAAGGAGCAGCUCCCCAUUGUUGCAAAAGCUGUUCACAUGCUUAAACAGGCCUUCAGCAAGCAAGGCAGAAGCUUUCUGAUGCUGGGAUUUCUAAUGUAAAAUUUACUUGGAGGAAGAAUGUGAAUGGGAGAUGAUCUAAAUCACCGGCAAUUCGUGAUAGAACUCAGUGAGAAAGCUUUGAUAUCCCAUAAAUGAUGAUGAUUGAUGUCCCAUAAAUGGGGAAGCUACAUUUAAUGUCAUUGUAGUGAAGAGGGAAGGGUUCUUUGCAUUUCAGCUUACUGAAAGCAGCAGCUUUCACUGAUGGUGUGAUUUCAGUUCAUAGGUCAAAAUUCAAGCGAUGGUGCUUGAACACAAAGCCUACCUACAGCCUGGGAAAAAUGACUUCAUGUCACCCUCUUCUACAGCUCCGUUAAGUAAAACUAAGGAGGCUUACAACAGCUGAUGAUCAACACAGGGCUCUACCAAGUUGGUGCUGCCAAGACACAGCUGGCUUUUCCAGAAGACUCCUACUGGACUGGAACCCCCAAGAACAUGGGUAGAAGAACAACCAAAGGGUUGCAGGCAUGACAGAGGAACCAAAAUGCUCAGUUCAGAAGGGAUGGCAGAAGACCAGGCUACCAAUCACUGGAAGCACCCUGUUGACUUCUGCCAGGAGCUGCACAGAAAGAGAACUCCAUAAAACAGGAUGAGACAGGACAGAAGUUUCUGCAAAACUGGGCUUGUGUCCAAAAUGGCUUAGUAAAAAUGGCUAUUUUUUUUUUUGCUCCAAACCUGUACUAACUAAAAUUUCAUUUCUAUUUGUAUGUCAUACUGAAAAGAAUUCAACGUGCUUCAAGGAUUUAAAGGACAUUUGUAUUUUAUGCAGAAUGCUCAAUAUUUCUUAUGGGAGGUGAUAAAUUCUUCCUUUCUCCUGUAGAUUUGUGAACAAAAUGGAGAAGAAUCUAUCCUGUUGCCAGAGUAAUCUGUUUUUGUGUUUUGUUUUGUUGUUUUUUGUUGUUUUUUUUCUUUU